GAUGAACGCUGGCGGCGUGCUUAACACAUGCAAGUCGAACGGAAAGGCCCAACCUUUGUGGGGUGCUCGAGUGGCGAACGGGUGAGUAACACGUGAGUAAUCUGCCCAUGACUUUGGGAUAAUCUCAGGCAACUGGGUCUAAUACCGGAUAGGACCGCCGUUUGCAUGGUGUUGUGUGGAUAUUUUUUGCGGUUGGGGAUGGACUCGCGGCAUCUCCUUUUUUUGGGGGUGUAGUGGCUCACCAUGGCCUUGAGGGUUCGCUGCCCUGAGUGGGUGACCGGCACAAUGGGGCCUGGGAUACGGCCCAGACGCUUACGGGAGGCAGCAGUGGGGAAAAUGGCACAAUGGGGGAAAGCCGAAUGCGGCAACGCCGCGUGGGGAAUGACGGCCUUCGGGUGGUAAACCGCUUUCGCCGGGGACGAGGCGUAUGUGACGGUAACUGGAGAAGAAGCACCGGCUAACUACGUG
rnacentral:rRNA from 1 species